AGCAUACAAACUAGGCCAAGAGCAGCUCCUGCAGAGAUCUGCACAACAGUCAUUGGAAUGUGUCUUGUGACAUCAAGAUGGACUCUUUGCUUACCACACCUUUGCCCUGCCCAGGUGCUUCCCAACAGCAUCUCCUCCUCUUCUCUAUCCAGAUGGAAAAGCUGAAGGAUCACGGAGCACUGAAGCUGGAAAGCUCCUGUGGAGUUUGUCUGGGCCAAUCCCUGUGCAGAGCAGGGCAGUUCCACAUGACUGCAAGGCCUGGCCACCACGGAGAAGAUCACAGGAAGCCUGGGAAUGGCUGAGCACAGCACUGCUCCUUAGACACCUGUAAGUAUAAUGGCUUUGGGAGAAACAGAGCUGUUUCAGAAGUGGUCUGAACUAAACAGAGAUCUCACAGCCCCCAUUUGGUAGAAAAAUGUCAUAUGCAAGAUGGAUGGAAAGCACUUUUAGUUAAUCUCUUUGCAGCAAAGAUACAGCUGCUAUUGGUGACAUUCAGGCCUUGUGACUCUCCAGGUCGAGGCCAGCAUGCAAAACAUCACAUGAGAUUCCUUUGGGUGUGAACAGGAGCACAGCUACCAAACAAACACAUGCUUAAACUCUCCUGUAACAAGCAAGCCCUGGCAAGAAGCAAAGUAUGUGAAAUGCACUACUUCUCCUCAUUUAAUAGUGCUGGCACGAGAGUCAGGGAGUUUUCCACCUGUUGACCAAGCUGUUCUAUAUUACAAAGAAUAAAUAGUUGAAAAAAUAACCUAUACCAAGUGAAAUUUUCCCCUGAUAUUUCCAGCCACUCCUAAACAGCCACAAAAAUCUAUAGAGGCAUGACCCCCAGGCUUAACCAUCGUAUCUUUCAUGCCUGAGGAGGACGGCAGAGAACAGACUGAGAGUGAGAAUAAAUCUUCAGAGUUUCUGUGUGGCAUCAGACAAGCUUUCAAACUCGUGUCCUGCUUACACCAUAACAACAUAGCAACAUAAAGUUAACAGCCCGUGCUUGGUGACCUCAGGCAGGGUGGACUUCUGGACUAACUACCCAACACAAAGCAUCUUCCAAAAAACUCAGUAUCUGGACAUCUGGGAAGAAGAUGGGGAUUAGCCAAGCAACUCCCCAGAGAGAUGACAAGAAAGUUGAACAGUUACUAAUUUAUUGGGGGAAAAAAAAAUGCAAAUUUCUUUGUAAAAUUGACACAUAUUUACCUUCAAUGUAUAUAUAUAUAUAUAUACUUUUUUUACUUACAAUAUAUACCUAUUAAUUUGGAUAGGAAUUUAAGUACAAAAAAGUUUAUUUCACUUAUUCCUUUAAGAACAUAUUUUAGUGCAGCAAGCUUUGAAAAUUUUUCUGCAGAAAAAAAAGCUCUACAAAAUUCACUUUUUAAGCAAAACUAUAAGCUUUCACAGUUGCUCCUACCUUUCUCCUACUUUCUUAAACACCAGCAAUUAAACAUUUAGAUGAUGGUGAUCACCGAGGGCAGGAAAAGACACUUUCUCAUCUUAUAUGGAGCACGCCAUAGCCUAAAAGGUAAAUGCUGUCUACAAAUCAUUACCUUACAGUUGCUGCUCCUUGACAAGGGAACUUUCAUACUGAUCCAAAUGGAAUUUUACCCUGAUUAAUUACUUGCCAGAUUCACUCAGAGACAAGUUUAGGCAGCAUGGAGUCAAAGGAGAGAAUGAGGAAUGAAAUAUUUUGGCACAAAAACAAGUGCUUCUUAAAGGCAAAGUGUCUUCUCUGUAAUUACAACGUUGAACUUAGAUUUGGAACAUUUUUUUUUAAUUUGCUACUUAAGCCUAUGCUAUCUAGAAACCCAACACACUUCCAUUUUUCUUAAUAAGUUAUUUUUGUUUCUUAGACGAUUUUACUUGACUGUUCAUGUGCAGUGACAAAACUCAUUAAAUGGAACUUUUGCUUGACAGCAUCUGAGUUUAUUCUAGAAUUAGCUGUGCUCCUCUCAAAAACAGAAGCAAAAAUAAUUUAAUACCUUUUCAGCAUUAUAACCACCAGUUUCACAAUGGAUUAUGUGGUUGCCUUCAGACCACAGUGUAACACAUGCCCCUAGAUUAAUGUUUAAAUUAAUAACUAUGUAUUUACAAUAGAACCCAGCACCAGUAUUUCUCAAGAGCACAGACAGAUGUAGUUAAAGGCAGGUUUGAAUCUGCAUAUGCUCACUGCUUCUGCCUAAAUUCUGUGUGUCCUUCAGUGUGCUCUGAUUUAUGUGGACUGUGACAGGUAAUGAGCUACCAAAAAUGCCCAAGUACCAGUGGGAUACCAGGCUCCAAAAAUUGACUUAGUGAAUUCCAGUCCAUUAGAUCAGAUUACAGUGGUCUCACCCUUACAUGGCUAAGUAAAUUAAUAUUUUCAUUAUGAAAUCAGUACCCAAAGUACCACAGUGGAGGAGGCAAUAGGGACCCCAUAACCAGCCUGGUUUAAAGAGCGUGCUCUUCUUCCCUCUGGACUCCUGCAUAGUAAAUUGGAGAGCAGGAGGAAUAAGGAAGCACACAGACAGGAAUUACCACACCACCUGCAUUAACAGAUUAUGCUGAAGCAUGUGUUAACUGUAACAUUCAAGUAUGUUUUAUUAAGUGUUAUAAAAUAUAUACAAUCUCAAAACACAGUGCAUUUUGCACACAGUUUGUCAACCCUCAUGGGUAUCACUACAGCAUUCAAUAGAUGACACACUUCCUUAUGAAAUCAGCAGACCAGAAAGCUAGGAAAA